AAACAAAUAGGUUUGGUCCUAGCCUUUCUAUUAACUCUUAGCAAGAUUACACACGCAAGCAUCCCCGCCCCAGUGAGGACACCCUGGAAAUCACAACGAUCAUACGGAGUAAGUAUCAAGCACGCACAAUGCUGCUCAAAACACUUUGCUCAGCCACACUCCCACGGGAGACAGCAGUGACAAACCUUUAGCAAUCAACGAAAGUUUAACUAAGCUAUGCUACAGUUAGGGUUGGUUAAUUUCGUGCCAGCCACCGCAGCCAUACGAUUAACCCAAGCUAAUAGAGACCGGCGAAAAGGGUGUUUAAGAUCUAAUCGAAUAAAGCUAAACUCCAUCUAAAUUGUAAAACCUUAGCUGAUGUAAAAUAAACUACGAAAGUGGCUUUACAAUUUCUGAACACACAAUAGCUAAGACUCAAACUGGGAUUAGAGACCCCACUAUGCUGAGCCCUAAACCUCAAUAAUUAAAAUAACAAAACUACUCGCCAGAAUACUACAAGCAACAGCUUGAAACUCAAAGGACUUGGCGGUGCUUCACCCCUCUAGAGAAGCCUGUUCCGUAAUCGAUAAACCCCGAUCCACCUCACCAUCUCUUGCUCAGCCUAUCUACCGCCAUCUUCAGCAAACCCUGAUAAAGGUCACAAAGUGAGCGCAAGUACCCCUUUUCGCAAAAACGUUAGGUCAAGGUGUAGCCUAUGAGAUGGUAAAAAACGGACUACAUUUUCUACUCCAGAAAACCCCACGAUAACUCUUAUGAAACCUAAGAGUCCAAGGAGGAUUUAGCAGUCAAUUAAGAACAGAGUGCUUAAUUGAACCAGGCCAUAAAGCACGCACACACCGCCCGUCACUCUCCUCAAGUAUAUUUAAGGACUAACUUAACUAAACACCCCAAUAUUUAUAUGGAGGAGAUAAGUCGUAACACGGUAAGUGUACUGGAAGGUCCACUUGGAUAAAUCAAAGC
rnacentral:ncRNA from 1 species